CUCCUGGCCUCAGGUGAUCUGCCCGCCUUGGCCUCCCAAAGCACUGGCAUUACAAGUGUGAGCCACCGCACCCAGUCUGUAAAUUUGCUUUCUUGCUGCCCUCUCAGCUGAGUCUGAGCAAGUCGUUAAGGAAUCUUCCGCUCCAGCAAAGAUGAGAACCAAUGUUGCAUGCUGAGACCUCCAGCAGACACGGGGGAAGCGCCUGCUAGUGUUUCAACUCAUUAGUCGGGAAAGGUUUUGCCCAGAAUUUGGUGACCCCACGGUAGCCAUGGAGUCUUUACUUCUCCUGAGGCCCCGUUCCACGUUCUUCCAGGCUCAGGCCUGUGGGCAGAACUCACCAGGUUGCUGUUUCCAAGUCAGGAUGGGUGGGUUAUACCUAUGCCUCAGUUUCCUUCUCUGCAAAAUGGGUUGUUAUGGUGAGGAUUGAAUGAAGUAAUGCAUGGAGAGCCCAUAGUACAUAGAAGUUGGCCAAUAAUGAUGGUGCUUCUAAUGCUGCUAGAAUUUGCGCUGGUAAUACCCUGAAGUUUCUGCAGCUGCUAGUCAGCAGGACUGAACGGCCCGGUGGUUGAGACCAGUGUAGUUUGGAAAGUGGAGUGGGCUUGUGCUGCCCCCUGCUGGGCAGCCGCCCCAUAGCCCCUGCAGCCGAGGCUUAGCAGCCCAGAGGGACUUUUUCAACAUUGGCCCUAGGGAGAGUUUUGGGUAACUUUCAGGCCAAGUUGGUCAUCAAAUUAACAGGAGGUGGGGUGUAUGAAAACCCAGCCCAGACAGUCCCUACUUUUACAAUGGUUCGAUUUAUGAUUUUGCGACGUUACAGCGGGUUUAUAGGGGCAUAACCCCAUCGUAAUUUGAGGAGCCUCUAUAGUUACUUACACCAGACAGUCCCUAGAGGAGGGAGGGCAGGCUGCUGUUUAUGGGAUCCAAGAAGCCCGUUCAUUCAGUUCAGAUUAUUUUAUCAGCAUCUGCUGCUUGCCAGUUAGCACACAUUAGAUACGUGAGGAGAGUCGGGCCUAGGUAUGAACCCAUGGCUGCCCCUUCCAGCUCUCUGGCCCUGGGUCUUAGGAGCUCACGUUUAUGGAGCAUUUACCGGAGCCAGGCAGUGCCAGGCUUUUUACCCGAAUUUUCCAUCAGCUGUGAGCUGAGAGGUUGCUAACUGUGGUCGUUUUAGGUGGGAAAACAGAGGCCUUGCAAAGUGACUUAGGCAGUGCUAGGCUUUUUACCUGAAUUUUCCAUCGGCUCUAAGCUGAGAGGUUGCUAACUGUGGUUGUUUUAGGUGGGAAAACAGAGGCCUUGCAAAGUGACUUAGCUUGUCCAGAGUCCCAUGGCUAGCACAACAGAAUGACUGGGAUUUGGGGCAGGGCUCCAGGGCCUGAGCUGCUAAGGCAGCGUAUUCUACUGCCUCCUGCAUCACUUAGCUUCUCUGAGCUCCACUUUGCUCAUCUGUAAAAUAAAGAUAAAGGCACCAACUGGUACAUGGGUACCAAAGAUGAGGAUGCCAGCCCUGGGCUAGGCACUGGGUUUAACUGUUGGAGGAACUGCCAGACUGUUUUCCACAGUGGCCCCACCAUUUGCAUUCCCACCAGCAGUGCUGAGGGUUCCAGUUUCUCCACAUCCUUGUCAACACUUGUUGCUAUCUGUCCUUUUUGAUAUUAGCUAGCUUAGGGGGUACACAGUGGUUUCACUUUGCAUUUCCUGAUGGCUAAGGAUGUGCAUCUUUUCAUGUACGUAUUGUCCACUUGAAUAUCUCCUUUGGAGAAAUGUCUGUUUGGAUCAUCUGUUUUUACACACUGUAUAAUAAUGCAAGUUAGAAAGCAGGGGCUCAGGAAUAAAGCCAGAGUUUACAGUGUGCCAAA